AGUGAACGCUGGCGGUAGGCCUAACACAUGCAAGUCGAACGGCAGCACAGUAAGAGCUUGCUCUUACGGGUGGCGAGAGGCGGACGUGUGAGGAAUACAUCGGAAUCUACUUUUUCGGGGGGGAUAACGUAGGGAAACUUACGCUAAUACCGCAUACGACCUACGGGUGAAAGCAGUGGAACUUCUCACCUUGCGGGAAUGAAUGAGCCGAUGUUGGAGUAGCUAGUUGGCGGGGGUAAGGCCCACCAAGGCGACGAUCCGUAGCUGGUCUGAGAGGAUGAUCAGCCACACUGGAACUGAGACACGGUCCUGACUCCUACGGGAGGCAGCAGUGGGGAAUAUUGGACAGAGGGCGCAAGCCUGAUCCAGCCAUCCCGCGUGGGUGAAGAAGGCCUUCGGGUUGUAAAGCCCUUUUGUUGGGAAAGAAAGGCAGCAGGUUAAUACCCCGCUGUUCUGACGGUACCCAAAGAAUAAGCACCGGCUAACUUCGUG
rnacentral:rRNA from 1 species